rnacentral:ncRNA from 1 species
UCGCAGGAUAAAAACGCAAUGCACAUCAUUUGGUGUGAUAGAGCUGGUAGGUAGCCCAGCCGUCUGAAAAUGUUUCAGGUAAGUAACCUUCCCCUCCGGGUUGUCCAUUUCUGCGAAAUA